rnacentral:misc_RNA from 1 species
GCAAACUUGGUCAUUUAGAGGAAGUAAAAGUCGUAACAAGGUUUCCGUAGGUGAACCUGCGGAAGGAUCAUUAUUGAAUAAUUUGCCUUGAUGGGUUGUAGCUGGCCUCUAGAGGCAUGUGCACGCCUGUCUUGACUCUAUUCAUCCACCUGUGCACCUUUUGUAGUCCUUUACUCUCUAAGGUUAAAAGCUUGUCAUUCAGUUGAGAUACACUGGAUUUGAGGAUUGCCUAUUACUGGCUUUUCUCUCCCUGGCUUAUCUGAGGAGGACUAUGUACUUUAUCACAAACCAUAUAGUAUGUUACCAGAAUGUAUUCAAUGGGCCUCCGUGCCUAUAAAACAUUAUACAACUUUCAGCAACGGAUCUCUUGGCUCUCGCAUCGAUGAAGAACGCAGC